AUAUAAAUAGCAUAUGAAACAACUAGCUCAAGUUCUUGGAAGUGAGGAAGAGGCUAAGAAGAAGAUAUACUCUGUUUCCACUACUUGGCGCCCUCAUUUCCGAA